AACGUAGGAGGCGAGCGUUAUCCGGAUUUACUGGGCGUAAAGCGCGUGCAGGCGGUCAUACAAGUUGGGCGUGAAAUCUCCUGGCUUAACUGGGAGGGGUCGUCCAAGACUGUAUGACUUGAGGGCAGGAGAGGGAAGCAGAAUUCCCGGUGUAGCGGUAAUAUGCGCAGAUAUCGGGAGGAAUACCAGUGGCGAAGGCGGCUUCCUGGUCUGUCACUGACGCUAAGACGCGAAAGCUAGGGGAG
rnacentral:rRNA from 1 species